GUCUUCUUGAAGUUAUAAGAAGUCUAGCCUGCUCACUGAUAAAUAAUAUUAAAGAGCUGCGGUAUUUUGACCGUACAAAGGUAGCAUAAUCAUUAGUUUUUUAAUUGAAAACUUGUAUGAAGGGCUGGACAAAACAAAAGCUGUCUCUGUUAUAGAAGCAGAAUUUAACUUUUAGGUGAAAAGGCCUAAAUAAGUCAAAGGGACGAUAAGACCCUAUAAGCUUUACAUCUAAAAUUAUAAAAUUUGAAAAUUAAUUUAAAUAAAAAUUUUAAUAAGAUGUUUGGUUGGGGCGGCAAGAAUAAAAUUUUUAUUAACUAUUCGUAAGUAAAACACAAAUAUGUGAGAAUAAUAGAUCCUUAUUAAAGAAUAAAAGAAAAGUUACUUUAGGGAUAACAGCGUUAUUCUUUUUGAGAGCCCAUAUCGAAAAAAGAGAUUACGACCUCGAUGUUGAAUUAAAAAUUCUGUAUAGCGCAGCUGCUUUAAAAGAAGGUCUGUUCGACCUUUAAAU
rnacentral:rRNA from 1 species